rnacentral:tRNA from 1 species
GCCCAGAUGGCGGAACUGGUAGACGCGUCAGACUCAAAAUCUGGUAUUGGCAACAAUGUGCAGGUUCGAUUCCUGUUCUGGGCAC